UUCUAGCUCUGUCCUUCUGCAGUAUGGUAGUAGCAAGGAUCCACCAGGUUCAUCAAGUACCCUUUUGCCUAGGGGCUUUCCCUUUCAGCCCAGGAUAAAGGCAGCACAUCCAGAAGUGUUUGGAUGUUCAGUAUAAUCACUGAAAUGACCAACCACUUAGAAGCAUCUUCGUCCUUACUUACCAGUUAAAGAAGAGUAAGUGAUGGAACAUAGAGCUACGCAAUUAAAGAAAAAAGCCUAUUCUCCAGCCUCCAGACCACAUCCAGGAGGCCAUAAAAACUUGAGAGUACCCUUGACAGAAGUGUUCUACAAGACGGUCCCUGUCUGCCCCGAGGCAUAUCACACUGGCUACAGACAAGAAAUUCCUUCAUUAUCGGAGAAACGUUGAAGGAUGAGUCAGGAAACUUCUACAUCAGCAUUAUCAUGAAUAAUAAACUACAUGCUAUAAUAUUUCCCAGCAGUACUCUUAAGACAGUCAAUAAGGUGGAAAAAAAAAUAAUCUUUAACUGUGUAACAUCAGUCUUCAGUAUAGUGUUUAAAUUAUAUUAGUGCUGUGCUCUGUAAAUAAAUAAAUAAACAAGCAGAAGGUUCAGAAAGCACAGCCAAGCAAGUUUAAUCUUGACGUAAGGCCGUGAUGUUUUAUUCAUGGGAUGAGAAGAGAGCAGCUUGCAGCUGUCUGAGGAGAGCUGUUACAUACUCGUGGGGAAAGGGAAGAACAGUACGCAGCUGAGAAAAGCUGUUAUGCAGCAGUGAUGCAAGGAGGGAAGUGGAAAGGAAAAUAGAUUUUUCCCCUAGAUGUUUG